rnacentral:rRNA from 1 species
GAUGAACGUUAGCGGGAGGCUUAAUACAUGCAAGUCGAGCGGUAAGUUUUUAUAGCAAUAUGAAGACCUAGAGCGGCGCACGGGUGAGUAACGCGUACACGACCUGGCCUAAACUGGGGGAUAGCCUUGGGAAACUGAGAGUAAUCCCGCAUGUGAUUAUGUUACUGAUGGUGAUAUAAUUAAAGCUUCGGCGGUUUAGGAUGGGUGUGCGUCUGAUUAGCUAGUUGGUAGUGUAACGGACUACCAAGGCGAUGAUCAGUAGGGGGCGUGAGAGCGUGACCCCCCACACGGGUACUGAGACACGGACCCGACUCCUACGGGAGGCAGCAGUAAGGAAUAUUGGUCAAUGGGGGCAACCCUGAUCCAGCCAUGCCGCGUGUGUGAAGAAGGCCUUC